UACGUAGGGGGCUAGCGUUGUUCGGAUUGACUGGGCGUAAAGGGCGCGUAGGCGGCUUGUACAGUCAGACGUGAAAUUCCUGGGCUCAACCUGGGGGCUGCGUUUGAUACGUGCGGGCUUGAGUUCGGAAGAGGGUCGUGGAAUUCCCAGUGUAGAGGUGAAAUUCGUAGAUAUUGGGAAGAACACCGGUGGCGAAGGCGGCGACCUGGUCCGAUACUGACGCUGAGGCGCGAAAGCCAGGGGAGCAAACGGG
rnacentral:rRNA from 1 species